rnacentral:tRNA from 3 species
GGCGAGUUGGCGGAGUGGUUACGCAGCGGAUUGCAAAUCCGUGUACGCCGGUUCGAUUCCGGCACUCGCCU